rnacentral:rRNA from 1 species
CUGAUUCCUGUAAGAUCACCAAAGUUAAGCAACCUUGAGCCUGGUCAGUACCUAGAUGGUUGACCACUUGGAAAUAUCAGGUGCUGUAAU